GGUAUGCUAUAAUAAUCAAGACAGUAAAGUUCAAUGACGGUGGCUAUCCAAAUGAAAGUGAGGUGGUGCGUAUGUGCGUACUUCCAAAAUCUUGCAGAAAGGAGAAGCCUUUUGCCUGUUGAAACAGCGCUAGCAUUAAUGAUUAGUUUCGGUUCUUUAAUCGCAACAAU
rnacentral:sRNA from 1 species